GCCAAUGAUCACACCACGUUGAAUACAUCAGUUCUCGUCCGAUCACUGAAGUCGAGCAACGUCGCGCGAAAUUAUAGUACUUGGACGGGUAACCGCUUGGCAAAAUAAGUGCCGUUGGUG